rnacentral:rRNA from 1 species
UACUGCGAACUGCCAAUGGCUCAUUAUAUAAGUUAUCGUUUACUUGAUAGCACAUCGCUACCUGGAUAACUGGGGUAAUUCUAAAGCUAAUACAUGCUACAAAUCCCGACUCCGGAAGGGAUGUAUUUAUUAAAUGAAAAACCAAUGCCCCUCUGGGGCUGCCCGGUGAUUCAUGAUAACUGCUCGAAUCGCACGGCCUUGCGCCGGCGAUGGUUCAUUCAAAUUUCUUCCCUAUCAACUUUCGAUGCGAAGGUCUUGUCUUCGCAUGGUUACAACGGGUGACGGAGGGUUAGGGCUCGACCCCGGAGAAGGAGCCUGAGAAACGGCUACUACAUCCAAGGAAGGCAGCAGGCGCGCAAAUUACCCAAUCCCGACUCGGGGAGGUAGUGACGAAAAAUACUGAUACAGGGCUCUUUUGGGUCUUGUAAUUGGAAUGAGUACAAUUUAAAUCCCUUAACGAGGAACAAUUGGAGGGCAAGUCUGGUGCCAGCAGCCGCGGUAAUUCCAGCUCCAAUAGCGUAUAUUAAAGUUGUUGUGGUUAAAAAGCUCGUAGUUGAACCUUGGGCCUGGCUGGCCGGUCCCCCUCACCGGGUGCACUGAUCCAGCCGGGCCUUUCCCUCUGCCGAGCCCCAUGGCCUUCACUGGUCGUGGCGGGGAAGCAGGACGUUUACUUUGAAAAAAUUAGAGUGCUCCAGGCAGGCCUAUGCUCGAAUACAUUAGCAUGGAAUAAUGAAAUAGGACGCGUGGUUCUAUUUUGUUGGUUUCUAGGACCGCCGUAAUGAUUAAUAGGGACAGUCGGGGGCAUCAGUAUUCAAUUGUCAGAGGUGAAAUUCUUGGAUCUAUUGAAGACUAACUACUGCGAAAGCAUUUGCCAAGGAUGUUUUCAUUGAUAAGGAACGAAAGUUAGGGGAUCGAAGACGAUCAGAUACCGUCGUAGUCUUAACCAUAAACUAUGCCGACUAGGGAUCGGGCGAUGUUGCUAUUUGACUCGUUCGGCACCUUUCGAGAAAUCAAAGUGCUGGGCUCCAAGGGG